rnacentral:lncRNA from 1 species
UGAAAAACAGUCAUGGAGGAGGAUUCAAGCUGGUUUUCAUACUCUAGCUUCAUGUAAGUUUAAUUCUUGCUUUCUCCUUGAAAUUUUUAUGUUUUUGUGAUUUUUACAACUACGUCCACUUGUUGAAUUCAUUAGUUUUUGAUUCUAUGAAAGAAAUUGAAAGUUGUUAUGAAUAUGUGCUGGAAGUAUAUGAUGAUUUGGCAUGGAAUUAGAGCUUUAAAUUAUUUAUAUGCUGAUUUUAUUGAAAGAAUUGAAUAGAAAGUGAAUGUUUGGGACCUAAUUGUAAAAGAGUUUGAAGUUAAAGUUUCAUAUGGAAAUUAUGAAUUUAAAUAGUUAUGAAAUAACUUAUAAUGUCUAGAAAAAGUGUUAAUUGAUAAAAUUAUCUUAAUUGAGGGGUUAAUUGAGCAAGGACUGAAUUGUAUGAAUUGUGAAAUUUGGGGCAAAAUGGAAAUAAACAUUUUGCACUAAAACUGUUUUAGACAGCAGCAGUAGUCUAACUUUGAAAAAUCACUAAAAAUUAUAGAAAUGGAGUUAGAGGAUGAAUAAAAUAUGAAAUUAAAGUUUAUUGAGUCUAGUUUCUUAUAAAAGAAAUUAUGUAAGCAAUGGAAUUGUAAAUCAUCAGAUACAAUAACUUUUGUGAGACAAGGUCAGAAUGAUUUCGAGUUCCCCUGUUCUGACUUUGGAAAAUCAUAAAAAAUUGGAUAAAAAUAAUUAGGGGCUUAAAUUUAUAUUUUUAGAAUCCUGAAUGAGUCUAUUUUCAAGAAAAACAAACUAGGACAUCAUUCAAAUCCUGUACAAGAAGAUAAUUAGUUUUUAGUGAAGAAGGGUCGGAACUGUCAGACAGCAAAACAGGGGAGACUUUAAUGAAUAAACUGUAUUAAUUGGCCCAACCAAAAAUUAUGAAAUUUUUAUGGUAAGAAGGUAUAUGAGUCUAGUUUCAUUGAAAAUUAGAGGAUCUUAAUUUGGAGUUCUGUAACUCAAGAUAAAAAUAAUUUAGUGAUUAUGACACAGAUGGAUAGCUUGAAUAUUCACAUAAGUAGAUAAUGAAAAUUAUGGAUAAUGUUACUUACAAGUGUGUUGUUUAUACUAAGGAUGUGGAUGGAGAGGAGGAGGAGGAAAAAUAUACAUAUAUAUGAACGACUCGUGUAUAAAUUGAUCACAUGCCCGGUUAUAAUCGAUGAGUGUUGGAUUAGAAAUGAUAUAAUGUUUUAUUUGGAAUAUUUAUUAUGAAAUUAUGAUUAUCGUUAUAAUACAAAAAUUGAACUUGUGAAUUUAUAUGGCCAAAUUUUAGUGAUUUGUUUGUUAAUUUUAUGAAUUUUAUGAUGAGUUAUUUCAUAUGUAUUGAUGAUAAAAUCGUGAAUAAUGUAAAAGCAUGAAAAUUGAAUAAAUGAUCAAAUUGAGCAUUUCAGUUCAGUGACAAGAUGAAUUGAAGGAAAAGACCAUGGUUGGACCAUGGAAACAAGUGAUAAGUGAUAGCUUCGGCUACACUUAUCUGAUCAAGGACAAAUGAAAGUGAUAAGUAAUAACUUCGGCUACACUUAUCUGAUUAAGGACAAGUGAAAGUGAUAAGUGAUAGCUUCAGCUACACUUAUCUGAUCAAUGGCAAAUGACAACUGAAAAGUGGUAGCUUCAGCUACCUGAUCAGUAAAAAGUGGUAGUUUCAGCUACCUGAUCAGUGAAAAGUGGUAGCUUCUGCUACCUAAUCAGUGAAAAGUGGUAGCUUCGGCUACCUGAUCAGUGAAAAAUGGUAGCACCAGCUACCUGAUCAGUGAAUAGUGGU